rnacentral:tRNA from 1 species
AGCCCCGAGGUGUUUGUCAUAUUAGAUUGCAAAUCUUAAGGAGCAGACUAACCGUCUGCCGGGGCUU